GCUAGCAUAGUUUAACCCAGACAUUAGAUUGUGAUUCUAAAAAUAGGAGUUUAAACCUCCUUGCUUGCC
rnacentral:tRNA from 1 species